GUACAUCUAGACAUGCAUGACGCUGUGAGCACGGGGCGGCCUCUUGACGCCUGUGGCUUCAUCCGCAUGCUGUGUCGAGUUGGGUCGCCUGAACAAUCGACUGUCUACAGUGAGCUGACAUCAUAUACUUUAUCUACCUGGACACUGUGAAGGAGAUGGCUCGUUACCUGAACUACCUGACGUGGGCCUGGCUGUUGGCUCUCUGCUUCUCGCUCACAGCUGCACAAGGUGGUGUCAGCGGUGGUGGUGGCGGCAACAAGGCUUGGGAUGUUGGACCUUCCCCUCCAAUUGAUGUUAGUGAAUAUAUUGGGGGAUGGAACGCUUCAGCCCCAGGCCCGGGAGUGAUAUUGAGACCACGUCCAGGCGGCAGGAGACCACCAAUCAGAUGGGGUGGUUAAGACUCUACUGGCAGUGAAGUUAACCAACAGUCCUACAGGUGGAGGACAUAAACUCGUCCAUGUCUGACACACUCCUGAAGAAGCAAUGUGUAUACCACCACUCGGGGACCACUCUUGAGGAACUUUCAUUAUUAUCACUAACUUUUUCAGUACCUGUAGAA